CCUACGGGGUGCAGCAGUGAGGAAUCUUGGUCAAUGGACGAGAGUCUGAACCAGCCAAGUAGCGUGAAGGAUGACUGCCCUAUGGGUUGUAAACUUCUUUUAUAUGGGAAUAAAACGUUCCACGUGUGGGAUUUUGUAUGUACCAUAUGAAUAAGGAUCGGCUAACUCCGUGCCAGCAGCCGCGGUAAUACGGAGGAUCCGAGCGUUAUCCGGAUUUAUUGGGUUUAAAGGGAGCGUAGGUGGAUUGUUAAGUCAGUUGUGAAAGUUUGCGGCUCAACCGUAAAAUUGCAGUUGAAACUGGCAGUCUUGAGUACAGUAGAGGUGGGCGGAAUUCGUGGUGUAGCGGUGAAAUGCUUAGAUAUCACGAAGAACUCCGAUUGCGAAGGCAGUUCACUGGACUGCAACUGACACUGAGGCUCGAAAGUGUGGGUAUCAAACAGGAUUAGAUACCCUAGUAGUC
rnacentral:rRNA from 1 species